rnacentral:rRNA from 1 species
GACGAACGCUGGCGGCGUGCUUAACACAUGCAAGUCGAACGGUGAAGCGCCUUCCUUUUUGGUGGGUGUGGAUGAGUGGCGAACGGGUGAGUAACACGUGAGUAACCUGCCCCCUUCUUCUGGAUAACCGCAUGAAAGUGUGGCUAAUACGGGAUAUUCUGGGUCUGUCGCAUGAUGGGUCUGGGAAAGAUAUUGUUUCGGUGGGGGAUGGGCUCGCGGCCUAUCAGCUUGUUGGUGGGGUGAUGGCCUACCAAGGCGGUGACGGGUAGCCGGCCUGAGAGGGUGGACGGUCACACUGGGACUGAGACACGGCCCAGACUCCUACAGGAGGCAGCAGUGGGGAAUAUUGCACAAUGGGCGCAAGCCUGAUGCAGCGACGCCGCGUGAGGGAUGGAGGCCUGCGGGUUGUGAACCUCUUUCGCCAGUGAAGCAGGCCUGCCUCGUUUGUGGGUGGGUUGACGGUAGCUGGAUAAGAAGCGCCGGCUAACUACGUG